UUGAACGCUGGCGGCAUGCCUUACACAUGCAAGUCGAACGGUAACGCGGGGCAACCUGGCGACGAGUGGCGAACGGGUGAGUAACAUAUCGGAACGUGCCCAGUAGUGGGGGAUAGCCCGGCGAAAGCUGGAUUAAUACCGCAUACGACCUACGGGUGAAAGCGGGGGAUCGCAAGACCUCGCGCUAUUGGAGCGGCCGAUAUCAGAUUAGGUAGUUGGUGGGGUAAAGGCCUACCAAGCCUACGAUCUGUAGCUGGUCUGAGAGGACGACCAGCCACACUGGGACUGAGACACGGCCCAGACUCCUACGGGAGGCAGCAGUGGGGAAUUUUGGACAAUGGGCGCAAGCCUGAUCCAGCCAUGCCGCGUGCGGGAAGAAGGCCUUCGGGUUGUAAACCGCUUUUGUCAGGGAAGAAAAGCUCUGGGCUAAUACCCUGGAGUGAUGACGGUACCUGAAGAAUAAGCACCGGCUAACUACGU
rnacentral:rRNA from 1 species